rnacentral:piRNA from 1 species
UGGAAUGCUUUUACCGUAGAGAAAUGGUC